AGAGUUUGAUCAUGGCUCAGAAUCAACGCUGGCGGCGCGCUUAACACAUGCAAGUCGCACGAGAAAGGGAGCAAUCCUAAGUAAAGUGGCGCACGGGUGAGUAACACGUGGAUCAUCUACCUUUUAGUGGGGAAUACCUCUGGGAAACCGGAGACAAUACCGCAUAAGCCUGUAAAGGGAAAGCAGCAAUGCGCUGAAAGAGGAGUCCGCGGCCGAUUAGCUAGUUGGCGGGGUAAUGGCCCACCAAGGCGAAGAUCGGUAGCCGGCCUGAGAGGGCACACGGCCACACUGGCACUGAAACACGGGCCAGACUCCUACGGGAGGCAGCAGUGGGGAAUCUUGCACAAUGGGCGAAAGCCUGAUGCAGCGACGCCGCGUGAGCGAUGAAGCCCUUCGGGGUGUAAAGCUCUUUCGACGGGAACGAUAAUGACGGUACCCGGAGAAGAAGCUGCGGCUAACUACGUGCCAGCAGCCGCGGUAAUACGUAGGCAGCGAGCGUUGUUCGGAAUUACUGGGCGUAAAGAGUGUGUAGGCGGUGCUCCCAGUCUGUUGUGAAAUCUCCCGGCUUAACUGGGAGGGUGCAGCGGAAACUAGAGUGCUAGAGGGUGGGAGAGGUAAGCGGAAUUCCUGGUGUAGCGGUGAAAUGCGUAGAUAUCAGGAGGAACACCUGGUGUAGACAGCUUACUGGACCACUUCUGACGCUGAGACACGAAAGCGUGGGUAGCAAACAGGAUUAGAUACCCUAGUAGUCC
rnacentral:rRNA from 1 species